AUACGGAGGGUGCGAGCGUUAAUCGGAAUUACUGGGCGUAAAGCGUGCGUAGGCGGUUGUCUAAGUCAGAUGUGAAAGCCCCGGGCUUAACCUGGGAACUGCAUUUGAUACUGGAUGACUAGAGUUUAAUAGAGGAGAGUGGAAUUUCAGGUGUAGCGGUGAAAUGCGUAGAGAUCUGAAGGAACACCAGUGGCGAAGGCGACUCUCUGGAUUAAAACUGACGCUGAGGUACGAAAGCGUGGGUAGCAAACAGGAUUAGAUACCCUGGUAGUCCACGCCGUAAACGAUGUCAACUAGCCGUUGGGCCUUUUAACAGGCUUAGUGGCGCAGCUAACGCAUUAAGUUGACCGCCUGGGGAGUACGGCCGCAAGGUUAAA
rnacentral:rRNA from 1 species